AAAAAAGUAAGCUAAAUAAAGCUAAUGGGUUCAUACCUCAUUUAUAGAGAUUCACCUCUCUUUUUUA
rnacentral:tRNA from 1 species